CAGAACGCUGUUUUUUUACGCAGCAAUCGCAAGGCACACAGGAACGAAAAGAAAAUUCUAGGGUUCUAUACAAAACUAAUUCUUGGACUCAGAAUCGAUUGUUUGACUAGUGUCAAUUGGACUGGGGCCUGCGUAUUGGCUUGAGAAGGUUUGAGGUGCACAUACAAUAUUCAACAUUUAGUUCAGGCUAAACGGGGGUAGCAAUUCAGACGUGAACUUGGAUUUCUUGCAGUCACAGCAGCAACUGUGCUCAGUCCCUGAUACUAACGCAACACUAGCAAAUCUUGAUGACAUGACACCAUCAACAUUCGACUGUCAGUACCAUGUUAACCUUAUCUCUGGAAAAGGGUUGCUUGUUUUAGACCAGGUCUUAGCAACUGGGGAUGACAAUACUAGAGAAAUGGUGCAAACUUAUGUGGAUGAUCCAUCUGGUUUUUUAAUGAUUUUAAAAAAUCCAUGAUCAAAAUGUGAAGCUUGGCACCAUUGUAGACAAUAAAUUGCGUCGAGAAAAUAAUUGAGACCGAAAAAUAUCGCAACAAUUGUAGUAUUUGAUUUCAAAUAAUAUAAGUAUACAAUCUUUAUGAAUCCUCUGAUUUUACUUUUCCAGUAUAAA